rnacentral:rRNA from 1 species
GGCCUACGGGACGCAGCAGUGGGGAAUAUUGGGCAAUGGAGGAAACUCUGACCCAGCAACGCCGCGUGAAUGAUGAAGGUCUUCGGAUUGUAAAGUUCUUUUCUAAGGGAAGAAGAAAGUGACGGUACCUUAGGAAUAAGCCUCGGCUAACUACGUGCCAGCAGCCGCGGUAAUACGUAGGGGCAAGCGUUAUCCGGAUUUACCGGGUGUAAAGGGAGCGUAGGUGGCGUGCCAAGUCAGGAGUGAAAACCCAGGGCCCAACCCUGGGACUGCUCUUGAAACUGGCAGGCUUGAGUGCUGGAGAG